GCACGGGCAGCUUCGGCUGUCAGUGGCGGACGGGUGAGUAACGCGUAGGUAUCUAUCCUUGGGUGGGGGACAACCACGGGAAACUGUGGCUAAUACCGCAUGACGACUGAGGUCCAAAGGCGCAAGUCGCCUGGGGAGGAGCCUGCGUCCGAUUAGCUUGUUGGUGGGGUAAAGGCCUACCAAGGCUCCGAUCGGUAGCUGGUCUGAGAGGAUGAUCAGCCACACUGGGACUGAGACACGGCCCAGACUCCUACGGGAGGCAGCAGUGGGGAAUAUUGGACAAUGGGCGAAAGCCUGAUCCAGCAAUGCCGCGUGGGUGAAGAAGGUCUUCGGAUUGUAAAGCCCUUUCGGCGGGGACGAUGAUGACGGUACCCGCAGAAGAAGCCCCGGCUAACUUCGUG
rnacentral:rRNA from 1 species